rnacentral:tRNA from 1 species
UCUCCCUAGCCCCACCAACUCAUAGGAUUUAUGUAUGCAGUUUGUACCAAUAAAAGAUGCACCAGGGUAUUUAGUAAAUGAGGCG